rnacentral:rRNA from 1 species
CACAGAGAGCUUGCUCUCGGGUGACGAGCGGCGGACGGGUGAGUAAUGUCUGGGAAACUGCCUGAUGGAGGGGGAUAACUACUGGAAACGGUAGCUAAUACCGCAUAACGUCGCAAGACCAAAGUGGGGGACCUUCGGGCCUCAUGCCAUCAGAUGUGCCCAGAUGGGAUUAGCUAGUAGGUGGGGUAAUGGCUCACCUAGGCGACGAUCCCUAGCUGGUCUGAGAGGAUGACCAGCCACACUGGAACUGAGACACGGUCCAGACUCCUACGGGAGGCAGCAGUGGGGAAUAUUGCACAAUGGGCGCAAGCCUGAUGCAGCCAUGCCGCGUGUAUGAAGAAGGCCUUCGGGUUGUAAAGUACUUUCAGCGAGGAGGAAGGCGUUAAGGUUAAUAACCUUGGCGAUUGACGUUACUCGCAGAAGAAGCACCGGCUAACUCCGUGCCAGCAGCCGCGGUAAUACGGAGGGUGCAAGCGUUAAUCGGAAUUACUGGGCGUAAAGCGCACGCAGGCGGUCUGUCAAGUCGGAUGUGAAAUCCCCGGGCUCAACCUGGGAACUGCAUUCGAAACUGGCAGGCUAGAGUCUUGUAGAGGGGGGUAGAAUUCCAGGUGUAGCGGUGAAAUGCGUAGAGAUCUGGAGGAAUACCGGUGGCGAAGGCGGCCCCCUGGACAAAGACUGACGCUCAGGUGCGAAAGCGUGGGGAGCAAACAGGAUUAGAUACCCUGGUAGUCCACGCCGUAAACGAUGUCGACUUGGAGGUUGUGCCCUUGAGGCGUGGCUUCCGGAGCUAACGCGUUAAGUCGACCGCCUGGGGAGUACGGCCGCAAGGUUAAAACUCAAAUGAAUUGACGGGGGCCCGCACAAGCGGUGGAGCAUGUGGUUUAAUUCGAUGCAACGCGAAGAACCUUACCUACUCUUGACAUCCAGAGAACUUAGCAGAGAUGCUUUGGUGCCUUCGGGAACUCUGAGACAGGUGCUGCAUGGCUGUCGUCAGCUCGUGUUGUGAAAUGUUGGGUUAAGUCCCGCAACGAGCGCAACCCUUAUCCUUUGUUGCCAGCGGUUAGGCCGGGAACUCAAAGGAGACUGCCAGUGAUAAACUGGAGGAAGGUGGGGAUGACGUCAAGUCAUCAUGGCCCUUACGAGUAGGGCUACACACGUGCUACAAUGGCAUAUACAAAGAGAAGCGACCUCGCGAGAGCAAGCGGACCUCAUAAAGUAUGUCGUAGUCCGGAUUGGAGUCUGCAACUCGACUCCAUGAAGUCGGAAUCGCUAGUAAUCGUAGAUCAGAAUGCUACGGUGAAUACGUUCCCGGGCCUUGUACACACCGCCCGUCACACCAUGGGAGUGGGUUGCAAAAGAAGUAGGUAGCUUAACCUUCGGGAGGGCGCUUACCACUUUGUGAUUCAUGACUGGGGUGAAGUCGUAACAAGGUAACCGUAGGGGAACCUGCGGUUGGAUCACCUCCUUA